AUUGAACGCUGGCGGCAUGCCUUACACAUGCAAGUCGAACGGUAACGGGCCUUCGGGUGCCGACGAGUGGCGAACGGGUGAGUAAUACAUCGGAACGUGCCCGAUCGUGGGGGAUAACGAGGCGAAAGCUUUGCUAAUACCGCAUACGAUCUACGGAUGAAAGCAGGGGACCGCAAGGCCUUGCGCGGACGGAGCGGCCGAUGGCAGAUUAGGUAGUUGGUGGGAUAAAAGCUUACCAAGCCGACGAUCUGUAGCUGGUCUGAGAGGAUGAUCAGCCACACUGGGACUGAGACACGGCCCAGACUCCUACGGGAGGCAGCAGUGGGGAAUUUUGGACAAUGGGCGCAAGCCUGAUCCAGCCAUGCCGCGUGCAGGAUGAAGGCCUUCGGGUUGUAAACUGCUUUUGUACGGAACGAAAAGCCUUCUUUUAAUACAGGAGGGUCAUGACGGUACCGUAAUAAUAAGCACCGGCUAACUACGUG
rnacentral:rRNA from 1 species